UCCCCUUUAAGUUUCCAUAGAGAGGCCUCUCAGUGUCACAUGAUGGACAUGAUAUAAUGAAACAACAUUGUAGCGAGGAAAGCAUUUAGGGGAGCCCAGAGCUACAUAAACAGUGACUGGGGAGGGGGCAGAGAAGGAAACUACGGGGCAUCCUUCUGCACACAGGCACCCACCCACCUCCAUCCUGUAGAGAGAGGGGACAUGGAAAAGAGAGGAGGGGUCCCUCUGUUCCCCUCCCACCCCUCUCGGGCCAGGAGGAAGAACAACUUUUAAUCAGCACAGAUGGGAUUGCACCUGUCUCCAGCGUCCCCACCAGCCAAAGAAAGAGGAAAUUACAUGGAAGAACAGAGCUGGAAACUACCUGGGUUUUUUGUUUUUUUUUGGUUUUGUUUUUCUUCCACUUUGCUGGGGGGUCGCGGUGCGGGGAAGGCGAGAAAGCUUUGCCAGCACAUGGAUCGUCUUAAGAAAGAAAACUGAGACUGACACACACUGAGAGAAACAGCAUAAUCAAAAAUUUGAAACAUGAGACUGUGAGCUAAGACAACUGGAAGCAGCGGGCAUGGUGGAAAAAGGAGGAUUUUCCUGAAUGUAUCUUUAACUAUUCAGAAGACAUAUUUGAUCAUGUGAAUGUGGCUAGCAGAAGAGAGGUGGCUUUAGUUCAGGUUGCAUUCUGGAUUUGUUUUGUGCCUGCAAGGAGCUGAAUUCCUGAUCGCUGGAGAAGAUCUAACCAUAUUUGCACUGGUUCUACUCAUGACAGUACAGUGGGGCAGGUAACUGCCAAGAAGGAACUGGGAGGCUCUGACUUUUCCAAGGCUCAGGAUUAUGCAAUGAAGAAGAAUAUUUUAGAAGCUAAAGAGAGAGGUCACAACACCCUGGUCAGAAGGUGGCGAAACUCAGAUACAGAGACAAUAAAGGCCAAAUCUUUCUCCCACCAAAGUCAGUGAGAAGGUUUCCAACAGCAUUAAUAGGCACAGAUAUGUGUGGUAGGUGCUGCAGAGUAAAUCAGUGGCUAAUUUGGGAUUCGAACUCAAGAUUUCCUGGCUUCCAUGCUCAGACCAUGACAUGCUGACUUUGAUCAUGUAGCAUUCAUUUCAAAUGUAGUUUCUGUUAUAGGCGGGGCCAUAUUUGGCUACUAGUGAAAACACUGAAAUUAACCCACCUAAAGUGUCUGAGUAAAGCAGAAAAUAUUCUGCAAGAAAGGGUAUUUUACUCAAUAUUCAACAGCCAUCUCUCCCAUCUCUAACCUCAUUGUAUUUACUGUGUGGAACAUCACAUUAUACUAAUUUAAUCAGAUCUAAAACUUGCAUGGUGGGUGUUAGCAUCAGUGAGCAUUAUUGUAUUAGGGUGUCUGUUUAAUUAAUAUGAUUUAUUUUGUGCAGCAGCAUUAGUCAAAUACACUAGUCAGAUAUUAAGAUGCUGGAUAACAAUAACCAAUAGCAUUUAUAGUUAUAUGCAUGUCGAGACAGGGGUAAUGAAAUCUUGUGCUUCAAGACUUCCUCUACUUGGUCUAGGGGAUAAGAAGGAAUCUUUGUCCCAUGUACAGCAUUGAACAGAAAGGUAUUUUCCACCUCCCUCUGUUUAUUACAGGAUUACAGAUUUGAUGGACCGUUGAUGUGAUAAGAAUUUAAGAAUUGCCAUACUGGGUCAGACCAAAGGUCCAUCUAGCCCAGUAUCCUGUCUUCCAACAGUGGUCAAUGCCAGGUGCUUCAGAGGGAAUGAACAGAACAGGUCCAACCUUGUGAGAAUAUCCUGAGUGUGCCAAAAGGAGAGCAUAUUGCACGGGGGGGAAACCUGUCUACAAAUUGCUACGAACUGAAAGGUAAAUAGUUUGUUAUUCUUAAGAAUCAGAAGAGCAUAGCCUCUGUGUGGAUUUUGUUUCCAAAUAGAAAGUAGAUAAUCUGAAUAUGUCUGGUGUACCUUGUGUUUGACACUGUGCUGCAUAGUGAGAGGGGAAGCAUAUGACUUUUAAAAAUUGGGCUUGUGCCCUUUCUUUGCUUCUCUGAGUACUGAAGAACAAUUGAAAGGGUUUGGGGUUUUUUUUUAAAGGCAUUUUUCUGAUUUUUUUUCUUUGCCUCCCUUUUGAGUUAUCACACCUCAGAGAAGGGACGGGAGUGUUGGAAUCUUUUAAUGAAGAGAUCCUUUCUCCAAAGUGUUUGGCAGCCAUUGGACUUAAAUAGAUGUUAAUAAAAACAAAUAUAUUGAAACAUCUCAAUAAAAUCUCUCCUGCUCUCUUACUUGUUUAACAUCACAACAGACUGAAAGGUAUCAUUUUACUAGCUCUACAAUCAUAGAGUCUGCCGAAAUAGUCAUGACCUGAAUUUCUAAUAAUAAAAAAUUAAGAAAAAAUAUGAACUUUUUUUCUUAGGGGAAAAAAAACCUUGCAGGCCUUCCUUAUCCACCAUAAAAGCCUCACAAAAACAGUGCACAAGGGCAUUUUUUUCCUUUGCGGGUCUACUUUAACUAUCUCUGGCAGAAAAAUUAGGAUGGCUAUUUAUUUAGCAGUGUUAGUGAACCUAGCCCGAUAGGUAAUGGAGAGGUGCCAAACAAUCAAGAGUCCCUGCUUUGAGUUUACAGAGUAAAGGAGGCACUAGUGGGUGCAAAACAGUCCACUGCCCAGUGAGUGCGGUUCUUGAGUGUUUCAUGACAUGGCUAUCUGUUUUAGCACUGGAGACCCACCAAACUUUACAUAUCAACAGCAUUUUGUUUAAGGAAGUUUUUUAAAAUAAAGAGGAAUCAGAUUUUGAAAUGGCCAUUGGUUUGUGCCCAGUCCCAAACAGGAGACCGCAGAAUAUUUAUGGGAGGUGUCAGUGAGAAUUUUAUUGGUGCAGUAAUUAAGAGAUGGGUAAGGUACAAAUGAAGUAACAAAUUGGCUUUUUAUCUCUGUAUUGAGCACUGUUGUGAAGAAUUGUUUUACUCUUGAGCCUUAGGAAGCAUUGGAAAGGAACUGCCACUGUUUUUUCAGGGAAUCUUACAGGAUCUCCGGUACCCCACAUUUGCCACUCCCACUCUAACAACACUUGUCUUAGUGACCCUCUGUCCAGCCAAGCAGUGCUAAUUACAGGGCCGUCCAGAAACCACCAGCACGGCUCCUUCAGCUUACCAGAGAGUGCAUUUGAAAGCAAAGUGGUCUGAUACUGUGACAAUAUGUGUGGUAUGAGAACCUAGACAGAUAGUGAUACAAGGUAAGAGGACCAGGAAGCCCAUGGCACCUUUACUGCUCCAGUACCCCUUCCUGGUUCUUGCAGUGACUUGUUGUAUGGCCUUGUUAUACUACUUCACCAUUCUCUGUCUCAUUUUUCCCCAGUUAUAAAACAAAAAGAAUAAUACUUAGUUCACAAGAGUGUUGCAGAGCUUAAUGCUUCUACGGAGUUAUGGAAGUAGGAAAUGUUAUUUCUUGCAAUAAUACUUGUGGUUGUAAUGUUUGAAUUUGGAUCUCAGUGCAAACCAUCUUUUUUUCCCCUUCAGAAUGUAUAUGGGUUUUCAGUAACACAUAAUCCAUUUGUUAAGGACUCUGUUUUGAAGACAGCUAAAUCAAUGUUUUACUACCUAGAACCUGCUGUAAUAAAUAUGCCUCUUUUUUUUUUAGGGUCUCUACUUUCCUCAUUAGGCUUCAGAAAACAUGACCCAGAGUAAAUCCAAGUCAGCUUGUCUCUCAAGAGGACUCUUGUUAGUGCCCAAUGAUACCCUCUGCUUACACAGCGAUACUUCUACCAGGUUAUAUGGGGAUGGGAGCCAAUGUACAGGCCAGGGUCAGCUGCACCAGUGACCCAUGCCUCAGACAAGUCCUCUGAGAUCCAUGGGUUGUGUGCCAAACCAGCUACUUCGUUCACAAUUGGAUGUGCAGACUCCACAUUAUCCCCAGUUGAAAGAGCAAUGGCAAACUCUCCGACUUUCCAGUCACCAGUGUGAAUUAUUCACGGGUUGGGGACCAGGGGGUCCAAAGAGGAGCAGUAAACAUGGUCUAAAAUCCUGUAUCUCCACUUCACACCCAAAUAAACCCUCCCCGUUUUAUAUUCAAAACACAGAGGCAACAGCUAAAAUCGUUACAUUCUGUAUGUGACCACUGGGGGGAAAGAGGAUUAUGAAGCUGCAUUUCAGCUCACACCACAAACGAGAAUAAAAGCUCAAUCAGCUUUAGAUGCUUUCUGAAUGCUGAGGUUGAGCCUUGAUGUCAGUAACGGAUUGUUCCAGAAACGCACAGAGAAAAUUGUACACAUUGGAGACUAAUUUUCAUUUGUGCUGCAUCCCCGCAGCUCCCUUUGAUGUCAGUUUGAAUAAUAUUUUGAAUAAUUAGCAGCUUUUACAAUCAGCUUUUGGGUUACAUAUUCUGAGACUCUUUUGCAGUCCUGAAAUCCAUAUGCCCUGUGUUUACAUAACAGGUACAUUGGAAGUCUGAUUAGGGGAAAACCUCGGCCCAUAAUGUAGGGCUGUUUUUUGGAAACAAGGUUUUGCUGGUUCCUAAACAUUUCUCAGACUCCUUAACUGAUAACUGUUUUGUGCACUUACAUGUAGGACAUGAGAGGCAAGGAGAUUGUACGAGUCUAGAAAUUUUUAACAUGGUUUGUCAUGUCAUUCUAAUCCCCCAAAAUGACUUUUAGCUUUGUUACCAAAACACUUUUUUCUUUCUGACUAUUCAUAUAGACCCAAACCCUGAUCUCCCACAGCAAGCUGUGGAGGUCUUGAUUGCUUCUUGCUGUUUACCCUAAUUAACUUAUGUAACCACCUGUAAAAUAGUAGAAUUGUUCAAGUAGCAAAAACAAAGGAAAGUCUUAGGACCCAACCCCGGAAGUUUUGCUUUAAGUUAGGACUAAGUAAAACCUGAGUAGUGAAACCCUGAUUUGGCCCAUUGGCUUUCAUGGCAAUUGAAGAUGCUUAGUUCAUUGUGAAAUGAAACUCUCAUCCUUACUCUAGUUGCAUUCCCAGUGACUUGCCUGAGGAGUGGCUGUACGAUUUGGCCCUGACUGAGUGAAAUUGUUUCACUUGCCACUGUGAAUUUUAUUGCCAUGAUUUAUUUCUUAUUUUAAAGAAAGACUAAGCUUUGUCUCGGUUUUCUCAGACAUACCUCACCAGCAACAGAUACGUCAUCUUGGUGAGAGGUAAGGUGGCUGGGUGGGUGCCUCACCCCAUGAAUCAUAAAAGUCUUGCCCCCACAUUAAGAAUAGAAUGUUCCCCUGUAAAUGCUCACUUACCCUAGCCAAUUAAAAAUACUGCCUCACACUUGUGUUCUGACUGGAGGAAAAAGAACAACAGUUCACACCGUUGAUGAGCUUUCUUAUUAGUCAGAGGGUAUUAAGCAAGUGGUGGUGAAAGUGAUGGGAAUGGAUGGCUCAGGGAACUGAUGAAGGGAUAUGGAACCUUUUUACCUCUAGUGGUUUGAAUCCAAACCAAAUACGCAGUUACUGAGAAUUGUUAGUGUCAGAAGGUUUUUGUGAAAUCACUCCAUGGUCUCAGUUUGUGUCAUAGUGGACAGAUUGGCAUCACAGAACAAACACUCCACUUAACAUUAAUUGGUAUCUCAGUGGAGGGCCAUGUUCAUAAUGACCCCGGAGACUGAGGGCUUGUCUACACUUACCGGAGGAUCGACGAGUGGUGAUCUAUGCAUCAGCAGUGGAUUUAGCAUGUCUACUGAAGACCUACUACAUCGACUGCAGAUCACUCUCCCGACAGCUCCUGUACUCCACCGGAUCGAGAAGAGUAGGGGGAGUCAACAGGAGGGCGUCUCUCGUCAACAUCGCAUAGUGUGGACCCCGCAGUAAGUAGAUCUAAGUUAUGUCGAUUUUAGUUAUGCUAUUCACGUAACUCAAAUUGCGUAGCUUAGAUUGAAUUUCCACUGUAGUGUAGACAAUGCCUAAGAGCAUAGGGAUUCUGCCUGCAGGUCAAGGAUGAGCUAUACUGGUGGGGCAUUGUGUGGAAAACUGACACUACCACUUCCUAUGUUGUAUCUGUUCUGUGAAUAGAGGACUUCUCCAGGGUUGUCAAUCUGACAUCUUUCACCAGUUCCACAUUUCAAACAAAAUUGAAGUAAAAAAAAAAGUUAAAAUAAUUUGAACAAUUUGUCUGACAUAAAGUACUUACAGGCUAUUGUCUGAAAAUUAUAGGCUGACUUGUUCUUUCACAA